rnacentral:rRNA from 1 species
GACGAACGCUGGCGGCGUGCUUAACACAUGCAAGUCGAACGGAAAGGCCCUGCUUUUGUGGGGUGCUCGAGUGGCGAACGGGUGAGUAACACGUGAGUAACCUGCCCUUGACUUUGGGAUAACUUCAGGAAACUGGGGCUAAUACCGGAUAGGAGCUCCUGCUGCAUGGUGGGGGUUGGAAAGUUUCGGCGGUUGGGGAUGGACUCGCGGCUUAUCAGCUUGUUGGUGGGGUAGUGGCUUACCAAGGCUUUGACGGGUAGCCGGCCUGAGAGGGUGACCGGCCACAGUGGGACUGAGAUACGGCCCAGAAUCCUACGGGAGGCAGCAGUAGGGAAUACUGCACAAUGGGCGGAAGCCUGAUGCAGCAACGCCGCGUGCGGGAUGACGGCCUUCGGGUUGUAAACCGCUUUCGCCUGUGACGAAGCGUGAGUGACGGUAAUGGGUAAAGAAGCACCGGCUAACUACGUG